AACGCGAAGAACCUUACCUACCCUUGACAUCCUCGGAAGCCUCUAGAGAUAGAGGUGUGCCUUCGGGAACCGAGAGACAGGUGCUGCAUGGCUGUCGUCAGCUCGUGUCGUGAGAUGUUGGGUUAAGUCCCGUAACGAGCGCAACCCUUGUCCUUAUUUGCCAACAGGUAAAGCUGGGAACUCUAAGGAGACUGCCGGUGAUAAGCCGGAGGAAGGUGGGGAUGACGUCAAGUCCUCAUGGCCCUUACGGGUAGGGCCACACACGUGCUACAAUGGACGGUACAAAAGGAAGCGAAACUGCGAAGUGAAGCGAAUCCCUAAAAGCCGUUCGUAGUCCGGAUUGGAGUCUGCAACUCGACUCCAUGAAGUUGGAAUCGCUAGUAAUCGUGGAUCAGAACGCCGCGGUGAAUACGUUCCCGGGCCUUGUACACACCGCUCGCGA
rnacentral:rRNA from 1 species